rnacentral:piRNA from 1 species
UCUGCCCAGGUGUGCCAAGGCUAACA